CUGGCAGUCAUUCACUGUCCGAGUUGUAAAUCGAAGAGAUUGUCAUCCACACUGGACCAUGUCUAAAUUGUAAUGAUCCACAGUCCUUUGAUGGAGUAUCAGAGAGGGUAAUAAUCCCGUCUUUAACGUGGACUCCCAGUGUUUAUGUGAUGCAUUCUCUCAGAGUCGAGUAGUUUGGGAAUGCUGCUCUAAUGGGAGGUAAACUCCUUCUAAAGCUAAAUAUUGGCGAGAGACCGAUAGCGAACAAGUACCGUGAGGGAAAGAUGAAAAGAACUCUGAAAAGAGAGUCAAACAGAACGUGAAAUUGCUGAAAGGGAAGCGUUUGGAGUCAGAUGCGUCUUCAUGGAAUAACGGCUUCUGCAAAGAAGGUCAGUGACUUGAAGAUGGGCCAGCACUCACGUAGACCAUUGGAAAAGGGGUCAUUGGAAUGUAGCUCACUUGUUAGUGAUUAUAGCCUUGAUUCAUAUACAAUGUGUGUGUUAUGUGAGAUAGACAGCACGACUCACUCAGUCA
rnacentral:rRNA from 1 species